rnacentral:rRNA from 1 species
CGUAGGUGGCAAGCGUUGUCCGGAAUUACUGGGUGUAAAGGGCGUGUAGGCGGGAAGGUAAGUCAGAUGUGAAAUUCCAGGGCUCAACUCUGGCGCUGCAUCUGAAACUAUCUUUCUUGAGUGCUGGAGAGGGAAGCGGAAUUCCUAGUGUAGCGGUGAAAUGCGUAGAUAUUAGGAGGAACACCAGUGGCGAAGGCGGCUUUCUGGACAGUAACUGACGCUGAGGCGCGAAAGCGUGGGGAGCAAACAGGAUUAGAUACCCUGGUAGUCCACGCUGUAACCGAUGGAUACUAGGUGUAGGAGGUAUCGACCCCUUCUGUGCCGCAGUUAACACAAUAAGUAUCCCACCUGGGGAGUACGGCCGCAAGGUUG